UACGAAGGGGGCUAGCGUUGCUCGGAAUCACUGGGCGUAAAGGGUGCGUAGGCGGAUCUUUAAGUCAGGGGUGAAAUCCUGGAGCUCAACUCCAGAACUGCCUUUGAUACUGAGGAUCUCGAGUUCGGGAGAGGUGAGUGGAACUGCGAGUGUAGAGGUGAAAUUCGUAGAUAUUCGCAAGAACACCAGUGGCGAAGGCGGCUCACUGGCCCGAGUACUGACGCUGAGGCACGAAAGCGUGGGGAGCAAACAGG
rnacentral:rRNA from 1 species